UACGUAGGGACCAAGCGUUGUUCGGAUUUACUGGGCGUAAAGGGUGCGUAGGUGGCGUCGUAAGUCGGGUGUGAAAUUUCGGAGCUUAACUCCGAAACUGCAUUCGAUACUGCGGUGCUUGAGGACUGGAGAGGAGACUGGAAUUUACGGUGUAGCAGUGAAAUGCGUAGAGAUCGUAAGGAAGACCAGUGGCGAAGGCGGGUCUCUGGACAGUUCCUGACACUGAGACACGAAGGCCAGGGGAGCAAACGGG
rnacentral:rRNA from 1 species